rnacentral:rRNA from 1 species
GUCGAACGCUGGCGGCGUGCUUAACACAUGCAAGUCGAACGGAAAGGCCCUGCUUUUGUGGGGUGCUCGAGUGGCGAACGGGUGAGUAACACGUGAGUAACCUGCCCUUGACUUUGGGAUAACUUCAGGAAACUGGGGCUAAUACCGGAUAGGAGCUCCUGCUGCAUGGUGGGGGUUGGAAAGUUUGGGCGGAUGGGGAUGGACUCGGGGCUUAUCAGCUUGUUGGUGGGGUAGUGGCUUACCAAGGCUUUGACGGGUAGCCGGCCUGAGAGGGUGACCGGCCACAUUGGGACUGAGAUACGGCCCAGACUCCUACGGGAGGCAGCAGUGGAGAAUAUUGCACAAUGGGCGGAAGCCGGAUGCAGCAACGCCGCGUGCGGGAUGACGUCCUGCGGGUUGUAAACCGCUUUCGCCUGUGACGAAGCGUGAGUGACGGUAAUGGGGAAAGAAGCACCGGCGAACUACGU